rnacentral:lncRNA from 1 species
AUGCUGUUUCAAAAUUGAUUAGUUCUCUGACCCGCCCACUGAAAUCAUCCAAACUAUUGAAGAAGCAGAAUGGGAUGUGGAUUACAGGGUUUCAGAUAACACCAAGUCCCCAGUGAAAGAUCACCAACGUGAACUUAUCUGCUUCUUAAAGAAAUGAGAUGACCAGGAAGUUGGAAAGAGAACCCUUCGGGCCAGGCGGAACACCUCUGAAGACAGCAUUGUUUGCCAGGAAGAGGGAUGAAGGCAAAUAUGAAGAAAAGCACUCCCAGACUCCUUGCCUGGAACAUCUCAGCCUCAGGGAAAGAAUGGAGAACUUUGGCACACAGACUAUCAGUAACUUGGAGGCAAGAACCAGCACUGAGUCACGUUCGUAUAAAGAGUGCAUAACAACCCCCUGGCCUAGUGCUAACUCUAGACACAACUGUUUCCCUCUCAGUGAGACCUCUGUGCUGACUAAGGCCUGGGACUGCUCUGAAGGAUUUGAUGGGAGACAUAUGAACUAGGUCUCCAGUGUUUGAUCAUUAGACAACGAAUAAACACAUUUUAGAUUGAUCAGGUUGUAUCUGAUCUGUACCUAGGUAAUUUUAUUACUUCACUGUUCCUUUAAAUGUUAUCUUAAUUAAAA